UUAUUUCAGUGAGGAUAUAUUAAUAAAGUCCAGACAAACAUACAAUAAAUAAAACCAUAUCUGAAGAUUUACAGUUAUACUUGAAGAUAAAAAGUAUUCCACGUUUAUUAAAUAUCUUAUUCUCUGUAACAAUUAAAUUUUGUAUGGACUUGUACACCAUCUUUCUAAGUCAAAUAAAUUAAAUGAAGUAACUUCAUCAUAUUGCCUUAUGUUUUAUUUGAAGCAAAUAAAAACUGACCAGAAUUCAGGGAUUUGCUAUCUCUUUUCAGAAUACUGAUGGUAAAGCAAGUUUCACAGCAGAUGUCUGGCUUUUAAAAGGUAGCACGUUAUGCUCCUCACAUGGAUUUUAUACGUUUUUCAUUUUGUCUCACCAAGGAAAAGCUUCCAUGCUAGAGAAACACAAACUUUUGGACCUGAGCAUAACUGCAGUAUGGUAAACGGAAUAGAGCCUCAAGGUCUUUAGUGUUCAAAAUUAUUUGCUCUUUAUGUUAAUUCAAUUGAAUUUUCUAUGAUAUUUUCUUUUGUGAUAAAACAGGCCCUUCACUAAACAAAUAGGAAUUAUAUCUUGCCAUUCUGUAAGUAUUUUUUGGCUUUUUUUUUUUUUUUCUUUAAUGUUGAAUAGAAAUAGUCUAAUUUGAAAAAUAAAUAAUGGAAUGUAAACUCCACAGUAUUCUGGUUACUUUAUAAAUUUAAGCCUUCUCCCUCGCCCUCCAGAAAAGAAAUGUACUCUGGCAUGGUACUUAGACUAGGGAACCUGAGAUUAGGGCACCCAGAUUUAUAAAGUAUUUGAAAUAAAAUCUUUUCUAUUUUGCUGAAAGAUCAUAAUUUCUAAAUAUUCCUUUCUGUGUGGGAAACUCUAUGUAUGUCCUGCAUGCUGCUACAAAGGAACACCCAAGAAGUUAAUAAUUUCCAAAGCAAUACAUUCAAAUACCUCUUGGGAUAUGUGUAAUAUGAUGACAAGGUGUAGAACAUUUGGACUGCAACUCCAGAGGUACCUACCCAUUAAUAGUCAUGGACUGACUCAAGAAGAUCUCUCUGGUGGGAAUGCUGCUCCUGGCGGUCAGUUGCUUCAGGCUGGUCAGUGUGUUGAUCAGCCUGAGUCAGGCUGUGGACACUGAGGUGGAGCACAGCCACCAGCAAGCCCAGUGGGAGCAUGGCCUUCGUUAUUCUUCACAGAUACUGUGUGGACAAAGAACAAAAGGUCUUGGGUGGUGGAGAUGGGUUCCUUCUUGUGUGCAUCCCACAUCUGGUUAUGGAAAGGUGAGACCAUUAGUGUGGACUUGGCCUCUCCUGUUUUUCCAAGCUUUAUAUCAGCAGGAAAGUAUCCUUUUGUAAGGUAAAUAUGCCUAAGGCCAGAUUAGUGCUCAGCAGCAAGACUGGAUCAGGGCAUCUUGGACAUUUGUAGUGACUGUGAUCACUUUUUGUAUUUGUUUACUGCUUCUCUUUUACCAUUUAGACCAAGAACACACUGCGAUGAUUUGUGGUGUUUAAGAUGCUUAACCUGUCAGAACACAAAGUACAAGUUGCUGCCAUCCCUUGGAGCAUUUGUGAAGGUCAGGUGAGUCUUGAUGCAAUAGCCUGUUUUCCUAUUUUGCCAUCUACAAAAACUCUUCAUUUAAAUUGAAUGAAUGUAUAAACCAGAAUGCCCAAGGGCACAAGUUCAGUCUUUCAGGGAAAAUGAGAGAGGUGCUCGUGGUGCUCCAAGACAGUCAGGCUGUUGGUGGUUCUGGGCACUUCUUUAUUCGUAGAGGUGAGCAGCAUUAAAUAUUUACACUUCUGUUUAAACAUUACAUGGAUUAAAAAAAUACCUGUCUGAGGACACAGAUAAGUGCUGAUGUAGCUAUGCAGAGAAGAUAGAAAUCAGUGCUCGUUGGGCCAGCUGGCUUUAAUGUUUGUUGUCCCCAAACAUGCAUAAUAGCCAUCUGCAAACACAGACUGAAGAGGAGAGGUCCAUGGCCAUGAGCAGCUGUACUACCUGAAACACCUCUCUAGCUUGUUGCCAGCUAGUGACACAAGUGCUGGGGCAUCUCCUGACGUUAUGGCCUGCACUGGGACUUCAGAUUUUUGAUCAUGCAGCUUGGGCACCUGCUUCAACACGGUACUAAGGAAAGCAGAUCAGAACAGCUAAUCAGUAUAAACUUGUGGGUUUUUUUCCCUGCAAAUGAACUUGGCAGCAGCUCAGGAACUGUCCUACAUUCAGAGGAUUUCUUUGAGCCUUGGUUUGGUCACAACAGAAGUGGAUCCCUGGGCAGUGGAUCCACUGUGCAGCUGCAGCAACAGGUAGCAGGAGAGAGACAGUGCUGUGAGGAAUUAUAUGCAAGCAUUGGGCUAAUUCUGGGCUCCCUCGGACUCAGGUGAACUAAAACUUGCUUCAGUACAGUGAGAAAACUGUGAUAGAGACACAAACACAAAUGUUUUGCUGUUCAGACAUUCAUCUGUAUUAGCCUCUUGUUGAAAGUCAGCAUGGAUUGAUUUUUGAAACGCUUUCAAAAUCGGCUUCUCUUUGCUUUAAUUAUCUUUGUUGUCGUGAGGUGGUGGCUUGAUGAAGAGGUUCAUCAUCCUCCCAGGGAGGUCAGCAGAGGUUCUCCAAGCCAGCAGUUGGUCCACCCCAGGGCUUGCCUCUGGGAACAGUAAUAUGUAAAGCAUGUCUACACUACCACUUUGUUUUACACCGUAGUUCUUUCUUAAGAAUGUGACUGUAUUCCUACUAUUUUAUUCAAAAUGCUUCUUUUAAAAGCCAUCUAGCUCCUUUCAUCAGGAAAUGCUCAUGUCUUACCUGCAGCCCCAGCCAUGCCCUGCUAAACGCAGAGCAAAUCAUCACUCUGUAGAAACAUCUUCUCAGGCUGUUACAAAACUCCUGUAAUUCUGGGCACUCUGAAAGAAAAGUAAUGACACUGUCUCAAAGCAGCAAAAUGUCAGCCUUGGCUGAGGAAGGACCUGGACAAAGUAUUUGCAGAGCAGUCACAACCACCCCACUCCAGACCUAUAACAUCUACCUGACAGAAUACAUACCUGGUAUAGAGGUGAAACCCUUUCCAUUGGCUGGCAUAAAGCUGUCCUCAUGUCCUGUCCACAAAGACAGUGCUUGCAUUACCAACAUUCACCAUUGCUGACCCUUCCUCCAGCUGAGAGGAUGCAGUGACCAUGGGGAGCCAAGGGGUGGUGGCUCUGGGGCAGUGGUUAGUUAGGUUAAAGAACUUACCUAAGGUAUGUCUUGAAGGCACACACGGCUGCAGUCAGAUUUUUCCCAUCAAUUUCUAUUCUUGCAACAGGACUGAAAGGCCUGCACAGCCCUGGCCUUCCAGUCAGCAGGGAAGGGAGAUGGAUGAAUGGGAGAGAGACAACCAUAUUGAUUUUUGUCAUUGAUACCGAAGAAAACUCUCCCUUCACGUUUCCACUUGGCUUGGACUGUUAUCAUUGCUGAAUUUCUGUAAGAAGUUACACAGUGGCUGUUCAAUGAGCCAUACCUAACAAAGUAAUGAGGUUUAAUUAGCCCAACUUAAUCUGACACUGCUGCUGGCACUCUAUCUCGUUGUACAGCUGGCUAGUGAUGCAUGAAUGCAUGUGAAAUAAAGAUCACUCUUUAAAAUUUUUCUUUGCUUCUAAUAUUGUGUAAUUGAAUUUCAAGUUGUCUUCUCCUGUGGACUCUGCUUCCCUCUGUACAGUAUAAAAACAGGUCUCAGUUAAGCAGAUUGACCUGUACUUCAGUUUGAGUUUGAUAGAGGCUAUUUUCAAGUUACAAAUUUCAUAUUCUUGUUGUUUAAUCACAGCAAAAGUUUGGAUCACACAAGAAACCAAAAUCUGUUCAGCCAAGCCCCUAAUCCUUAAUAUCUCCAACAUGUAAAAUUGUUUCAGGGUGCAAAAGCUCUGAGUACAGCAUGCAGGCUGCUAAGACAGCAUAAGGUCUGCACAGAAGUAAUAAUGUAUUAAAGUUUACAACAUCUUCCUUUAUACUUAAAAGAUAUGAUUUAUACUUUUUUUAAAUUAUGUUGAUUUUCAUCAUGGAUUUGCAAACUCAAAACUCUGAGCCAAGGUUUAAUCACUAUUUUUUGCUAGAGAGAGUUUAACCUACAGCUGUAAUCAAUGAUAACUGCUGAGGAGUGAGAAGACAAGAUUGAGCAGCCCUGGCUAGUGCAGGCUCAGUGUGCCUCCCAGCAAAAUUCAGGAGGUCUUUGUGGGCAGAUUUCACAGAAACAGAGGUUGGACAGUAAAAGUGUAAAGGGAGGUUGCUGAUGCAGUGGCUCCCUGGAGUGAUUUCAUCUGAGGAAUCCCAGGGACUGGAAAAAGACCUACCUAGUGGAGAGCAAGGAACUGGAAAUGCCAGGAAAAGGCUGAAAUGAAAAAGCGAAGGAGAUGUUCUGUGCUUCUGUUACAGAACACAGGUAUGCACUUGCUAAUAAAAUCUUGUUCAACUUCUGUCCAGCUACAUUCUCUAAUGGUUUCUUGCAGUAAACUUAUAAUCAAUAUAACAGAAACAUUGAAAGUCAGGGAUUAUAAUCAGACAUUAAAAAAUAUUUCUAAAACUUCUCCUCUAUAUAAAGUAUUUUACUAUUCAGGAAAAAAAUCAUCAGCAAGUGUCCCAGUGUGUUUUCCCCACAGGUUUUAUGCCUGUGCAGAAGAGUCUUAGAAUCAAAAUCUAGGAUGGAAGAAACCUCCAGAGGCCAUGUAGUCCAGCCCUUUGCACAAAACAUCAGCUUUCUCAGGUACAUGUCUCCAAGCACAGGUAUUUCAAAACCUCUCUGGACCAUGUCUUCUAGUACUUAACCACUGCAUGGUAGAAGCAUGUUUCUUAUUAGAAUUUUCUACAUUCAAGCACUUCUGUUCUCUGCACUUCUUUUCAGUGUCUUCCAGCUCCAGCAUCAUACAUCUUUGUCAUGAUCCAGGAACUUCUGAACAGUCAUUUACAGAAAAGCCAUUCCAUUUUCUCAGCUGGACCUUGCUUAGCAUUAAGUGAGAGAAAACUUCCAUGAGUCUUCUGCUCUUCCAUUUAUCUCAGGGAAGGUCUUUGUAAAGCCAAAUCCACUUGGAUUCUUUACCCCCCUCCCCACCCCUACCCCAGGAGUGCCUCACAAAAAGACUUAAAGGAGAAAAUUAAAUAUUCUUCUCACCUGCUAUUGCCUAUAUCUGCUUGUAAAGCCAAAAUGUAAAAUAAGCAUUACUCAUGCCUACCUUCAGUAGAGUCAGGUUUUGACUGCACUGCUAAUUUCCAGGAGAUGUAGGCAAUUUACAGCUCUUGAGAGUUACUAUUCAGAGCAGUGAUUGGUUAGUUUGUGGGAUUGAAACCAAAUCACACAGUGGAUUUUUUUUAAUUUGCUGGCUGUCAUUUACAAGAUGAGGAAUGGGAUGAGCAUCUGAGUGAGAAAGCAUAAUGAAAAUUUCCCACCUCUGCACAGAAAGCCAUCAGUACUUGUUACAGAGGUUAAUUUUAUUCUAGUUUGGAUCUAUGAACUCAAAGACCAGAGUAAAAAUAAUGAGGAAAAAAAAGGGUUUUAAUUAAUGUCUUUGAAGUAGUUUCCAAAAUAAGAUUGCCACCCAAAAAAUCCACAGAGAGCCAAAAAUAAUUCCUUGUUUUUCCCACAGAAAUGAGUUACAAGACUUAGAUCUCAGCGGUCAGUUCAGUGUUGCCAGGCUCUGUCAAUACUGAAGUGUUUGGAGAGGCUGUUUUCCCCUUAAACUUCUCUUGACCUUUCAUCAUCAUCCCCCACCCAAAUUCCACCUCCAUCCAAAGCAGACAUGUCACAUCCAACUGGUGUGCCUUGGAAAGAAAAUGGAGCUGGGCUUCUUGGGGGAUCAAGGGGAGAACAUUUUGAAAGUGUCAGUAAGAAAAAAACUAGAUAAACAUAGAUUUUGUUUUUAAAUAUAGAAAUAGAAGAUAUAUCUGACUGUUCUUAUUGUCUCUGAACUAACUUGCUCUUUUAAUUUUGCUGCGUUGAAUUAAAUUGUGUAUCUUUGAUGCCUUCAUCUGCACAGCAAUACAAGUACCGAAAAAAUACACCUUUUAAAGAAAUAAGAAUUAAAACUGUGUGUUUAUCCCAGCUGUGUUUUCUGACUUUUUCUUAAUUUCUUUUUAGUAAAGAAACGGAAUUAUUUCUUUAAGGGACCCUCAUGUUAUACUAUCCAAAAACUAGCCAAAAAUUGAGUCAUCUCAGAUUGGAAUAGGUCUGAAUUUCAUUUAUGAUUCAUAGCAGUGUAUUGAAUGAGUUGGAGCCUAAACUGGAGACUGGGUUUAACCCAUAUGUACAAAUGAAAAAGAGAGAGGAAGCCACCACCUCACUAAGCCUGGCAAGGAGCAGUCCUUGAGCAGAUAAUGGUGUGGAAAUUGCUGGUGGUUAGAACAGAUAUAAAUGUGUCAGGAAAGUGCUGCAUUGCUCUGAAAAUGCUACAUGGCUUGGUGCAGGGAGAGCCCCUUGUACUCCCAAAAUAAGGAAGAAGGAGGUGUUUGUGUCACAUCAGCAGUCAGCCCCUACACAUAACCUUGCCUUGGGGAAAAAGUUCAGAAAGCCAGCACCGAAGACUCAAGGACAUCAAAAUCUUAAGGAGUCAAAAGCUUAAAGCUCUGAAGUACAUAAAAGGCUGUGCAGAUGAAAGUGUGGCAAAAUGACACUGGAGUGGAAAGUUUCACAAGAACAGCUAUUUUCCCAAUCCCAGGUCUCUUUGCAGAGAGGUGAUGUCCUUUAGCACCAAUAUCAAACCCACCUUCAAAAAACUGAACCACGAUCUCUAAUAUAAGUCUUAUCUCAUGCUCACAUUGCAAGAUGCCCCUUCACCAAAAUGUCCUCUCUGCCCUUUCUUUUAUUGCUUGUGCUUCACACCGCAUAAGGCAACUGAAUGAGAGAGUAAAAACAAUCCUGGAGGCAGUAAAUAAUCUUCUGAGGAAGAUUAUUUCUUUUUAAUCUUUUUUUUCAAUGCAGGAAGCUAGUGAUUUAGGUUCUUUUAAGGGUAUUGUGAUAAAAGUCCAAGGUGUGCUUUUCAGUUAACACAAAACAAACUUGUAGGUCCAUUUAAACUGGAGAAAUCUCAUAAGCAAUGUCAAAGUCAGCUACUCCAAGGGAAUGAGAGAUCUGAAGAACGGGUUGGAAAACCAACAGCCUCAGCUAGAGCAUGCUUUACUUAUAGAGCUAUCAACUUCUGAUUGAUUUGUAAACCCAUUUCUUUUCCAGCCCUUUUUUCCAGAUGAAAUAACAAAAAUGACAAACCCAUGUUGUAUUUGAAGAAGAGAAAUAUGACUCUUUUCCAGAUCUUUGCAGGAGUCAAAUAACCACAGAUAUUUUUGUCUCUUGGCCAAAUGACAGAGCACAAGCCAGGAAUAUAAUAUAUAGAAGAACUACUGAGCCGAUAUUAUGGCUUUCCAUUAAGAAGACCUGGAACCAUUUGAGUGAAAUGCAUUUGUUUGUUUUGAUCUUACCUUCACCUUUUGCAGUCUCCUAGGAGCCAGUGCCACAAUUAAAUACACCCCAUUCCAGAAGCCAGGUUAUCUAGCUCUGUUUCAGCCCCUCUAAUACUUCAGACCUCUUAACUCUCUCUCAGCAUUCAUCCACAUGCCACAAAGGUGAUCAAUCUGUGCACACUUUGUGCAGGUACCAAACCUUUUCUCCAGAGGAAGCAUCUGGGCAUCCAUUACAAGCUACCACCUGUACUGACUUCUCCUUCCUUACCAGUCCUGCCUGGGUGGAAGCAUCCCAGAGCUGUCUCAGUAGACACACUGGUUUUGGCUCUGAGGCAAGAGCCCACCUUUACAGGAAGACCUGGAGCACUUAGCACUCACCUGAGCUGUGGACCUCCUUGCAGACUGUGACGCCCUGCCUGCAUGCCCUGCCCACGCCAAGAGCUGCGCCAUGCCCGAUGUGACACGCCCUGGCCAUGCACUCCCAGAGCCAUUUACAUCUCCUGUGGAUGCCCUGGCAGCAUUCCCUCCUCACCAGGUUGGCUCACAGGAGUUCAUGGAUCCUGACAGGCCCUGGGCUUCUGCUCAGGUGCCCCUGAGCAUAGGUGAUUCUGCUGCUGGUAACUCAUUCUGAUAUGCCAGGAAUAUGCAGGGGGCAUUUGAGGUUACCAAUGCUCUUUGAAGGUGGUGGGAGAGCACUACUUUGAGGCAUAUAUCUAUCACACAGAUUUCCUGAGCCUAGAGGUUAUUGUGAUCAGCAGGUGAUGGAUGCUGGCUAAGAGGAUCUUGGCCAUGGCACCUUCAUAGCUGCUGAGUUCCUGAUGGCAAUAGAGGCUGCAUUUUCACUCUUGAUUAAUCACUAAGCUCUUUAAAAACUGAGAAAUUAAUAAAGUAUUUCCCAGGAAUAUCUGUUAAUUACUAAUUGUAUGAAAAUUACUAGACUAUCAGAAAGCAAAAUUAAAUGCAUGGCAUCAUAGGAUCAUAGAAUGGUUUAUGCUAGAAGAGACUGUGAAAAUCAUCUAGUUCCCAAGCCAUGCCAUGGGCAAGGACACUUUCCACUACACCAGGUUUUCUCAGGGGUCCCUCCAGCCAGACCACUGACACUACCAGGGAUGAGGCAUCCAUAACUUCUCUUGAGUGCCUUAUCACCCUCACAGUAAAAAAUUCCAUCUUAAUAACUAGUCUAACCUACUCCCUUUCCAUUUGAAGUAAUUCCUCAUUGUUAUGUCACUCCAGGCCCUUUUAAAAAGUCCCUCUCCAUCUUUCCUGUAUGGUCUCUUAAGGUACUACAAAGCUGCAAUUAGGUAACCCAAAAGCUUUCUUUUCUCCAGGCUGAACAAUUCCAAUUCUCUUAGAAUUUCUUCAUAGGAGAGGUGUCCCAUCCUUAUUUUGUGCAUAAAUCAGAAUAUUAUUUGGUCUUUCCAGCAGAAUAUGUAAUUUGUUUCCAGCCCAUGACAUUUAAGGCUGUUGCUUCUGUCAUGGGCUUUUUGUUUCUCCCUAGUGGGUGCUCUACAACACUAGGAACCCAAUGACAGACCCGUGCACUGGCACUAACCACUGGCUGCUGGAAAUAUGUCAUUUUCUUUUAUACCUCAAGCAUACUAUUUCUCUCUCUGGCCCCACAACAAUAUACAGUUUUCUGCAUUACCUUGUUUCUUCUUUUAUGGUCUUUAACACUACUUAAAAUUGCCUCUGGUUUUCUUCCAGUGUCUGUUGAACUUCACAUAAUUUGUAGAUAACAGUUAAAUCUAUCUCCACCAUGGGUUAGCCUGGGUUUCUGAGCUCCUCAUUUAUAUUUUUAGUCUUUGUUUCAUUUCUAGCUCCUAAAUAUGACAACAAAUGCAGUUUACUGCUAUUUCUACACUGCUUGUUCUCCUUUUCUCCUUAUUUCAGGGAGUUCUCAAUGCGUGUUGUCCCAAAGUUUCUACCAUGUCGUCAAUUCUUUUUCUGUGUCCAUCAGCCUACAAGAGAAGACUGCUUUUAGCCUUUUCAGAGGCUGCUUUGACCCAUACCAUCCCAGAUUUCCCUCAGGGUCUGCAUAGGCAGUGCAGAGGCUGCAGCUCAUGCGCGCGCAUGGUUGCAUGCGCUCCCAUGUCACAUCUGUGUGUAGACAGACACCAGUGCAGGCUGCAUUAGAAGAUGUCCUUUGCACUUUGUCCCUCAUGUGGCUCAUCAUGCCAGCUCCAGCCUCCAGGAAUGCCCUGCACUGAGGUGGCCCAUCACAGCUCUUGCAUGCAACAGCAGCAGCAGCUCUUGACUAGCUAGGAUGAAAGUCCUUCCCUGUUACUCUGAGGUUUCUUGGUCACAAUACUCACAGCCAGAGAGCCAACCAAGAAACAAAAACCCAUGAAAGAAGAUGCAGAAAAGAAACAGACCGAAAGAAGAAACAGUGUCCUGAGCAAACUGUGACUGCAGUGGGUUUGUGACAACCUUAAUGCUGACAUUUUUGGUGGGGGGUUGUGCAAUCCUUUUGUGAUCGUUAUUUACUACACAAAUUUGCUACAAAUUCGCUGCACAUUUUCAGUGAGGGGCAUGCCCUGUUUUUUUGCCAAAAUAGAAUGAAAACCAAGGCAAGAUGUGUAUGGUUCCUACACCCAACUGAAAAUGAUUCCUUACCAAGAUAUUUUCUGCUCAUCCACUUCUUGAAUCAGCUUCAUUUUUGUCUAUCCACUUUCAUGUGGGUUAAGAGGAAAGGUUACUUCUCAAAUUGAGGUGUAAUUGGCAAAAUAGGAUUUAGAUAUUUUUUUCCUACUAACAAACAGAGGUUACUGAUCUGAGGUCCAUGACGAACAACAAACAGUCUCUUGAUAUUUGCCUACAGAGUUAUUUGUCAUUGCAAAGCUGGACUUUGACAACUCAUCCUGAGUUAGCACUGAGAUUUGGCAAGAAGUUUUAAAUGGUCUUCUGUAGAAUAAAUUUAUCUGUAUUACCCUGAGACCAAGUCCUUAUAUGUUUAGAGGCAUGAAGCCAACUACUUGUUACUAAAUACGGCACAUACUAAAUACAGUUAUGAGUAAGAAACUUUUGUCAUUGAUUUAUGUGAUUUUGAGGAUGAAUUUGAAAGU